rnacentral:rRNA from 1 species
CUACGGGACGCUGCAGUGGGGAAUAUUGCACAAUGGGCGCAAGCCUGAUGCAGCCAUGCCGCGUGUAUGAAGAAGGCCUUCGGGUUGUAAAGUACUUUCAGCGGGGAGGAAGGGAGUAAAGUUAAUACCUUUGCUCACUGACGUUACCCGCAGAAGAAGCACCGGCUAACUCCGUGCCAGCAGCCGCGGUAAUACGGAGGGUGCAAGCGUUAAUCGGAAUUACUGGGCGUAAAGCGCACGCAGGCGGUUUGUUAAGUCAGAUGUGAAAUCCCCGGGCUCAACCUGGGAACUGCAUCUGAUACUGGCAAGCUUGAGUCGCGUAGAAGGGGGUAGAAUUCCAGGUGUAGCGGUGAAAUGCGUAGAGAUCUGGAGGAAUACCGGUGGCGAAGGCGGCCCCCUGGACGAAGACUGACGCUCAGGUGCGAAAGCGUGGGGAGCAAACAGGAUUAGAUACCCGCGUAGUC